AGGCAAGAAGUCACUCUUUACGAAUUUGAUUCAAAUGAUUCAUUUUUUAAAUGUUUUUAACUAUUUUUCUUCUUUGACCUUCCGUCCAUACUGAUAUCAACAGACAACUGUUUUUGUAAAUGUCGGCUGUGCUGCGUCUCAUUGUCUACCUUUUUUUGUUGUCUCUGCUACAGUUUGUGUCCGCCUCAGUCAUCAAGUCCCUGCUAAUGUCCUACAUGAGCACAGACCGUGUGCACUGGGGUAGAUUAGUGACAGACUGGUAUUCUACACCACGUCGGCCAAUCAAUUAUGGAUUAAAUGAUCAUGUUAAUUACAGGUCACCCCUGCUCAGGCUAUACAGAGUGUCACUGCUGUUGCAAAAAUAAGGUCAACCACCGACAGCAACGUCUGCAGUGACAGCAGCGUACGUUGACACCACAACCACAAGUUUGAGUAUCUGCGGCGCUCUUGUCAAAACCUUCUUACGAACGCCUUUUCAUCUGGUGCUCUGAUCCUUGGAGGAAACCAGCCAGGAGUCCCACUGAGACCCGGAAGCCUGAUGUGUGUGGAAAAAUAGGAUGAUUCAAAUUGUAACAAAGAGCCGUGGGAAUAAAUCAGAAUGUAAACCAGCUCGUAGAUCAUCCUGGCGCCUGAUGUUGUGUUUCACAAAGAUGCUGAAGAGGAGGCAGAAAAACACAACACAGCCAGUUCAGCCUGGAUGCUCCCAACAGCAGCAGCAGCAGUUCUGCUGCUCUGCUCCCUGACAGAAC